rnacentral:rRNA from 1 species
AGCGAACGCUGGCGGCAGGCCUAACACAUGCAAGUCGAACGAAGUCUUCGGACUUAGUGGCGGACGGGUGAGUAACACGUGGGAACGUACCUUUUGGUUCGGAACAACUCAGGGAAACUUGAGCUAAUACCGGAUGAGCCCUUAGGGGGAAAGAUUUAUCGCCGAAAGAGCGGCCCGCGUUAGAUUAGCUAGUUGGUGAGGUAAAGGCUCACCAAGGCUACGAUCUAUAGCUGGUCUGAGAGGAUGAUCAGCCACACUGGGACUGAGACACGGCCCAGACUCCUACGGGAGGCAGCGGUGGGGAAUCUUGCGCAAUGGGCGAAAGCCUGACGCAGCCAUGCCGCGUGAAUGAUGAAGGUCUUAGGAUUGUAAAAUUCUUUUACCGGGGACGAUAAUGAUGGUACCUGGAGAAAAAGCCCCGGUUAACUUCGUGCCAGCCGCCGCUGUAACAC